rnacentral:rRNA from 1 species
AUGCCAGCAGCCGCGGUAAUACGUAGGGGGCCAGCGUUGUUCGGAAUUACUGGGUGUAAAGGGUUCGUAGGCGGUGUGGCAAGUUGGGUGUGAAAUCUCUGGGCUCAACCCAGAGACUGCUUCCAAAACUGCUGUGCUGGAGUGUGGGAGAGGUGCGUGGAAUUCCCGGUGUAGCGGUGAAAUUCGUAGAUAUUGGGAAGAACACCGGUGGCGAAGGCGGCCAUCUGGCCCACAUUUGACGCUGAGGCGCGAAAGCGUGGGGAGCAAACAGGAUUAGAUACCCCCGUAGUCC